UACGUCGGGUGCAAGCGUUGUCCGGAAUUAUUGGGCGUAAAGAGCUCGUAGGCGGUCUGUCGCGUCUGCUGUGAAAACUCAGGGCUUAACCCUGAGCUUGCAGUGGGUACGGGCAGACUAGAGUGCGGUAGGGGAGACUGGAAUUCCUGGUGUAGCGGUGAAAUGCGCAGAUAUCAGGAGGAACACCGGUGGCGAAGGCGGGUCUCUGGGCCGUAACUGACGCUGAGGAGCGAAAGCAUGGGGAGCGAACAGG
rnacentral:rRNA from 1 species